rnacentral:lncRNA from 13 species
AUGACAACAAGUUUUAGUCUAGGAACCCCGUAUAUAAAGGAUGCCAAGCGGGAGUCUCGCCAUUUCAGACAUGGGCUCACCUGCUCAGAGCUGGCUUCAAGGAGAAAUGGGAGUAGCCGGCCACCGCCCAUGCUGGAGGCUAGAGUCUGCCGUAUCAGCUCUGCUUGGCUCGCCUGGGUGUUGUGCUUGUUGGCACUGACCAAGACUACAGCGCAGCUAGAAAGGCUGUACAGGAGGAAUGGCUGGGGAGUCCUCAGGAAACUCACAAUCAUGGCAGAAGGUGACAGGGAAGCAGGCACAUCUUCACAUGGCCAGAGCAGGAGAGGGGUAAGGUGCUACACCCUCUUAAACAACAAGAUCUCAUGAGAACUCUAUCAUGAGAGCAGCACUAGGGGGAUGGUGCUAAACUAUUAGAAACUGCCCCCAUGAUCUGAUGGUCUCACAUCAGGCCCCACCUCUAACAUUGGGUAUUACAAUUGAACAUGAGAUUUGGGUGGGGACACAGAUCCAAACCAUAUCACAGAGUCUUAAGGUGUAGUCACUGAGUUCUAGGUUGGCUUGUUACUCAGCAUUAUUAUGACAGUUGCUGAUUGAUAUAAGAAGUGUGUUUCAACUUAUGUGUAAAUUUCUUUUUCCCGGAGCUUGUGCUUAUACAUUAAGUUUGCUUGCUUUUAUGGUUGCAAGUUGGAUGAAACUUUAAAAAAAAACGGAAAAUAUGAUAAUCAAACCUUUGGUUUAUUCAGAGUAGUGAGUUUGUGAUGAGAAAGGAUGGCUGUCAGAUGAGGACAGGAUAGAGGACUGUGUGUAAGGUCACAGAAGAGCUGCAAACUAGACAACUGAGCAACUGGGCAUGUAUCACAGGGAAGGUGGGGCAGUUCUUCCAUUGCUAGGGAUUGCAUCUGUUAUUUGAAUUAGGUAAGUGGCCUAGUUGGACAUACACAGUUGAGGAAGAGCCCUAUAAUGGUUUCUGGUGUAAGGGGAAGAGAGGAGUAUGGAUUUGCUUUAUGAUUAACACUGCAAUUAAAUUUCCUUUAUAAUUAACACUGCUAGAAUACAAUAUAAAGUUCCUGAGACCACUCAGUUUUAAAACUUUGAAGAUAAGCAAUUAUGUUUCAAAACUGGAUCAAAAGCUGGAUAAACAUCUCCACUCAGGGAGCUAAAAGAAAUCUCCAAAUUAACAUUUCCAAAAAUAACUUCCCAGUAGUCUCUCCCAUGGUCUUCUUUAUUUCAACAAAGGGCAACUCCAUUUUCCUUGGUUCUCAGGCCAAAAAUCCUGGAAGCAUUCUUAGCCCUUCUCUCUCUUUCUAGCACCCUAAUAAAUCCCAUUGGCUCUGUCUUCA